AACGAACGCUGGCGGCGUGCCUAACACAUGCAAGUCGAGCGCGAAAGGGGCAACCUGAGUAGAGCGGCGCACGGGUGCGUAACACGUGGGUAAUCUGCCCCAGAGACUUGGAUAACCAUCCGAAAGGAUGGCUAAUACGGGAUAAGCCUACGGCCUCUUUGGAGGCUGGAGGAAAAGGUGGCCUCUGUUUACAAGCUACCACUCUGGGAUGAGCCCGCGGCCCAUCAGCUAGUUGGCGGGGUAAUGGCCCACCAAGGCAACGACGGGUAGCUGGUCUGAGAGGACGAUCAGCCACACUGGAACUGAGACACGGUCCAGACUCCUACGGGAGGCAGCAGUGGGGAAUUUUGCGCAAUGGGCGAAAGCCUGACGCAGCAACGCCGCGUGUGUGAUGAAGGUCUUCGGAUCGUAAAGCACUUUCGACUGGGACGAAAAACCUUUGGCUAACAUCCAGGGGCCUGACGGUACCAGGAGAAGAAGCACCGGCUAACUCUGUGCCAGCCACCGCAGUAAAAC
rnacentral:rRNA from 1 species